rnacentral:rRNA from 1 species
UACGGGAGGCAGCAGUGGGGAAUAUUGCACAAUGGGCGAAAGCCUGAUGCAGCUAUGCCGCGUGUAUGAAGAAGGCCUUAGGGUUGUAAAGUACUUUCAUCGGGGAGGAAAAACAAAACUAAUAAUUUUAUUUCUUGACGUUACCCGAAAAAGAAGCACCGGCUAACUCCGUGCCAGCAGCCGCGGUAAUACGGAGGGUGCUAGCGUUAAUCAGAAUUACUGGGCGUAAAGAGCACGUAGGUGGUUUUUUUAAGUCAGAUGUGAAAUCCCUGGGCUUAACCUAGGAACUGCAUUUUGAAACUGAAAUACUAGAGUAUCGUAGAGGGAGGUAGAAUUCUAGGUGUAGCGGUGAAAUGCGUAGAUAUCUGGAGGAAUACCUGUGGCGAAAGCGGCCUCCUAAACGAAUACUGACACUGAGGGUGCGAAAAGCGUGGGGAGCAAACAGGGAUUAGAUACC